GAUCAACGCUGGCGGCGUGCCUAAUGCAUGCAAGUCGAGCGGGGUGGCCUUCGGGCCACUUACGCGGCGGACGGGUGCGUAACACGUGGGCAACCUGCCCCGAGGUGGGGGAUAGCCGUGGGAAACCGCGGGUAAUUCCGCAUGUGGUGCUGUGUCGACAGGACGCGGUACGAAAGGGUCUUUUGACUCGCCUUGGGAGGGGCCUGCGGCCGAUUAGCUAGUUGGUGGGGUCACGGCCUACCAAGGCGGCGAUCGGUAGCUGGUCUGAGAGGACGGCCAGCCACACGGGGACUGAGACACGGCCCCGACUCCUACGGGAGGCAGCAGCAAGGAAUCUUCCGCAAUGGGCGACAGCCUGACGGAGCAACGCCGCGUGCGGGAUGACGCCCUUCGGGGUGUAAACCGCUUUUCUUCGGGAAGAACGUGGAGCGAUCCACCUGACGGUACCGGAGGAAGAAGGACCGGCUAACUACGUGCCAGCCGCCGCCGUAACAC
rnacentral:rRNA from 1 species